ensembl:snoRNA SNORA62 Small nucleolar RNA SNORA62/SNORA6 family
UGUGCACAUUGUUAGAGCUUGGAGUUGAGGCCCCUGGCUGGCCGAUGAACUCACAAGUGUAGGUAGUGUGCUACAUGAUAGGCAAGGUUUUCGCUAACACCACAAGGGUCUCUGGCCCAAUGAGUGGAGUUUGAUAGUAAUCCUUGCUACAAGU